GGUUAUGGCUCAGCGGUGGAGCACUGGCCUUGCAUGUGUGAGACCCUGGGUUCGAUCCUCAGCACCA
rnacentral:tRNA from 1 species